rnacentral:misc_RNA from 1 species
UGAGCCCCGUCUCCAUUUAUCAUCUUU